AGAUUUUGACACUAAAAUGGUAAAUUGAUCACAUAAAUGGCGGAAAAAUCUCUCAAAGCCUCCCACUACUACAUUUAUCUUUCUCCAUUCACAAAAACACCGCCGUUUGGAACUUGCUUCCUUCUGUCUGUACAUGAAGCUCACGUUGACGUCGUUGAUCUCGUUCGUUUCAAUAAUCUUCUUCAUUUUGAUCUUGCAUUCAGCCUGGCUGUUUGUUAAUUGGAGAGCGGAAUCAAAGAGUAUAAUAGAGCUCUUGUGUGUUUUCUUAUUUUCUAGGAUUUUGUGUUUUGGGGGCGGCGGAUCCAUGGUGGUGGGUGUCGAAGGAGCGUAGGUCGAUAUAAUGUCUUUGGGAACCGGUAGUGCGGACUAACCGAUCCCUUUUGCCUCACUGAUUUCCGCCGCCGGCCGCGCAUUCUACCAUAAGAACAUGUAAGUCGUCGAAUACUUUUUUUUUGGGUUCGUCACUGACUGUCUAUUCACCCUCAUCAGCAUCCGCCGUUGAUUAUGCUGUCAAGAGUUGUCGCUAUUCCCCGAAUGUCACACAGUCCAUUCAUCGAAGAAAUCGGAGGGCGCAAUUGCUUCUAGUCGGAGGACUGUAUCGAAUUACAAUUAUUAUGUUCCACAUGUUGUUCCGAAUUUUAAUUUUAGGUACAUGUUGUGUAUUUCCAGAUUAUUACACAAUUGAUUUUGAAUUUUAACAAUAAAUUCAUGUGGUUCUGUUCUUUAAUUUACCACUUUGUUUUAACCAUUCAAUAUGGUAACAAGUUAAUUAAAGUGAUUCAGGAAGAGUUCAAUAAUAAUAUAAAUCAAAAUUAUUAUUUUGAUAUUAGUUGAUAUUAAUUUGUGCUUACCAUUUAAG
rnacentral:lncRNA from 1 species